CCGGCCGGAGAGAUGAAUUCCUUUCACUAUCGCAUGGCUUCGCAUCCAGACUCUCCUACAAUCCCUUUCCAAUUCAAAUCCCAACAAAAUUGUUCUUUGAUUAAGCAAUACAAUCUGCAUCUCCCCUUCUAGAUGAAGGCCCAAUCUUAAUUUUGCCAUAAUAAUGUCUAGAGACGGCCUCCCCUUCAAGAAUCGGCCGAUCAACAUCAUCAAUUCUAGCGUGUGAAUGAGACGAAUCUGCUUGAUCGGUUCUGUGUAUCGCGAUUUCAGAAUCCUCUUCGCAAUCGCAUCCUUGCGUCAUGAUUUCUGGAAAUAAGGCAAAAUCUGCUGCCCAAUCCGACCUCCUGAGGAUGCUUCACAUUUUGCCGUUGAAAUCGCAUUUUCCGGCGGCUUCGCCAUGGAUACGGGAUACGAAGAGACCUUCGUCCGUCGGAGACGAUGGUCCAUGGCCGGGAGACGAAUCCAGUUGCAGUUCUUGGCUUUUUUUAAAUUUUAAUUUUAAUUAAUUAUUUUAAAAUAUUGUUUUUAAAAUUGAUAACCAGCACAUCAGGUAAAAUAGGUCAGUUUAGGUUAAAUUGCAUUAUUUUGUAUAGUUCAGGAACUUAAUUGCAUUGUUUUUUAAUUCGAUGGCCUAAUGAUAGUUUAGUGCGUAA